GGGGGGGCUGUACGAUUGAUGAUGCCAUUGAACCAAAAAAAAUAAUAAUAAUACACUAAUCAUAGUUCACAACAUAUUUUUUUUUAUAUAUAUAAAUAAAAUUCCCAUUUUUUCUCUUCUCCAAAUUCUCCUAAGUAAAAUUUCUCCAUUACAAAUCAAACCAUUUUUUGUUGGUCCAAUGGCAUCAUCAAUCGUACAAAAUGGACAUGUUAAUGGAGAAGCUAUGGAUUUAUGUAAGAAAUCAAUUAAUGUUAAUGAUCCAUUGAAUUGGGAAAUGGCUGCUGAAUCAUUAAGAGGGAGUCAUUUGGAUGAAGUGAAAAAGAUGGUGGAUGAAUUUAGAAAGCCAAUUGUGAAACUUGGGGGUGAAACUUUAACAGUUGCACAAGUUGCAUCCAUUGCAAAUGUUGAUAACAAAAGUAAUGGGGUCAAAGUGGAACUUUCUGAAAGUGCAAGGGCUGGUGUGAAAGCUAGUAGUGAUUGGGUAAUGGAUAGUAUGGGGAAAGGUACAGAUAGUUACGGUGUGACUACUGGAUUUGGUGCAACAUCUCAUAGAAGAACUAAAAAUGGCGGUGCACUUCAAAAGGAACUUAUCAGGUUCUUGAAUGCUGGAGUUUUUGGAAAUGGAACAGAAUCAUCUCAUACUUUGCCACAUUCAGCAACAAGGGCAGCUAUGCUUGUUAGGAUCAAUACUCUGCUUCAAGGCUACUCUGGCAUUAGAUUUGAAAUUUUGGAAGCAAUUACUAAGUUGAUCAACAGCAACAUUACCCCGUGUUUGCCCCUUCGUGGGACGAUCACUGCAUCGGGUGAUCUUGUCCCGUUGUCAUACAUUGCUGGUUUGCUCACUGGCAGGCCUAACUCCAAGGCUGUUGGACCUAAUGGUGAGAAACUUAAUGCUGAGGAAGCGUUCCGCGUGGCUGGUGUUACUAGUGGAUUUUUCGAGUUGCAGCCUAAGGAAGGACUUGCACUUGUGAAUGGUACUGCAGUUGGUUCUGGUAUGGCAUCAAUGGUACUGUUUGAGUCCAACAUUCUUGCUGUCAUGUCUGAAGUCUUGUCAGCGAUUUUCGCUGAAGUGAUGAACGGAAAGCCUGAAUUCACUGACUAUUUGACACACAAGUUGAAGCAUCACCCUGGCCAGAUUGAGGCUGCUGCUAUUAUGGAACACAUUUUGGAUGGAAGUUCAUACGUUCAGGAAGCAAAGAAAUUACAUGAAAUGGAUCCCCUGCAGAAGCCUAAGCAGGAUCGGUACGCUCUUCGCACUUCACCACAAUGGUUAGGUCCACAAAUUGAAGUGAUUCGAUCAUCAACCAAGUCAAUUGAAAGGGAGAUUAAUUCGGUGAAUGAUAAUCCACUGAUCGAUGUGUCAAGGAACAAAGCCUUGCACGGAGGGAAUUUCCAGGGCACUCCAAUUGGUGUUUCAAUGGAUAACACUAGAUUGGCAUUAGCUUCCAUAGGGAAACUCAUGUUUGCUCAAUUCUCUGAGCUGGUUAAUGAUUUCUACAAUAAUGGUUUGCCUUCAAAUCUCACAGGAGGAAGGAAUCCUAGCUUGGAUUAUGGUUUUAAGGGUGCUGAGAUAGCCAUGGCAGCCUAUUGCUCUGAGCUCCAAUACCUUGCGAACCCUGUUACAAACCAUGUCCAAAGUGCUGAGCAGCAUAAUCAAGAUGUCAACUCAUUAGGGCUGAUUUCUUCAAGGAAAACAGCAGAAGCAGUUGAUAUCUUGAAGCUCAUGUCCUCAACUUUCUUGGUUGCACUUUGCCAGGCAAUAGAUUUAAGGCAUUUAGAAGAGAAUUUGAAGAGCACAGUUAAGAACACAGUGAGCCAGGUGGCUAAGAAAGUUCUAACCAUUGGAGUCAAUGGUGAGCUUCAUCCUUCAAGAUUCUGCGAGAAAGAUCUGCUCAGGGUAGUCGAUCGCGAGCAAGUGUUUGCAUACAUUGAUGAUCCUUGUAGUUCAACAUACCCACUAAUGCAGAAGAUGAGACAAGUCAUUGUGGAUCAUGCAUUAACCAACAAUGAUUAUAUAAACAACAUAGAUGCUUCAAUCUUCCUCAAGAUAGGUGCUUUCGAAGACGAAUUGAAGUCUGUCUUGCCAACAGAAGUAGAAGCUGCAAGAAGUGGUUUUGAGAGUGGAAAUCCUGCAAUUCCAAACAGAAUCAAGGACUGCAGGUCUUAUCCACUGUACAAGUUUGUGAAAGAAGAUUUGGGAACUGAACUUCUAACAGGAGAGAAACUCAGGUCUCCUGGCGAGGAAUUUGAUAAGUUGUUUACAGCAAUUUGUGAAGGAAAGAUUAUUGAUCCUCUCCUUGAAUGUCUUAAGGAUUGGGAUGGCACGCCUCUGCCAAUUUGUUAAGAGGGAUUUUUCUUCUGCAAAUCUUGUUUUCUUUCUCUUUUACUGUGAUCUUGGUAUUGUAGUGUAAGAGCAUUCUGCAUUUCCCCCCUCUUCCAUAUGUAAUUUGAAAGUAUAUAUAAAGCUAGCAAGGAGUGUAUUUCAUGAUAUCACUUUGUUUCAAUAAAAGUUUAAUUGUCAAGUUUUUAAACAUUGCC
rnacentral:misc_RNA from 1 species